rnacentral:tRNA from 1 species
GCGUUGGUGGUUCAGUGGUAGAACGCUCACCUUCUGUGUGGGACACCAGGGUGCAAUUCCCAGCCAGAGCU